rnacentral:rRNA from 1 species
AUUGAACGCUGGCGGCAGGCCUAACACAUGCAAGUCGAGCGGAUGAAGGGAGCUUGCUCCUGGAUUCAGCGGCGGACGGGUGAGUAAUGCCUAGGAAUCUGCCUGGUAGUGGGGGAUAACGUCCGGAAACGGGCGCUAAUACCGCAUACGUCCUGAGGGAGAAAGUGGGGGAUCUUCGGACCUCACGCUAUCAGAUGAGCCUAGGUCGGAUUAGCUAGUUGGUGGGGUAAAGGCUUACCAAGGCGACGAUCCGUAACUGGUCUGAGAGGAUGAUCAGUCACACUGGAACUGAGACACGGUCCAGACUCCUACGGGAGGCAGCAGUGGGGAAUAUUGGACAAUGGGCGAAAGCCUGAUCCAGCCACGCCGCGUGUGUGAAGAAGGUCUUCGGAUUGUAAAGCACUUUAAGUUGGGAGGAAGGGCAGUAAGUUAAUACCUUGCUGUUUUGACGUUACCAACAGAAUAAGCACCGGCUAACUUCGUG